GUUGAAACACCGGUUCCCGUACGCUCACCAAAGUUAAGCAACGUCGAACCAGGCAAGUACCUAUAUGGGUGACCGCUUGGGACGGCCAGGUACUGU